CGAGGGCCCUUCUUCCUCACCGAUGGUGCCAUCUCUGGCACUGUCCUCUCCUGGCAGGACAGCGGGGAGCACAGAAGGCCUGCGCCGGUUCCCUCCAGUCUGUCCACGAGGCACAGGUCCGUCCCCAAAGGCCCCGCUUCUCAACGCCACCACAUCGAGGGUUAAGCUUCCGCGUGAAUUUUGGAGGUGGCUCAUUCAAACCACAGCAGCCACCAUCACCACAAGCCAGGUGCCCGGUGUCUCCAUCACCUCGAAGGCCCCACAAGCCAGGUGCCCGGCAUCUCCAUCACCCCGAAGGGCCCCCGCCGGCGUGUUUCCACCCCUUCCCACACCCCGUUGUUCCAGGAAGCCGCUCUUCUGGUAACUCGAGUGAUCUGUCAUUCUGGGAUCAGCCCCAGAACACUUGAACGAUGCUACGCAUAUGAUCUGUCUGCCUCACCAAAGAAAAAUGUCUCUGGAAGAUGACUGCGCUCAGUUUUUCUUGCAGGUUUGUUCUCAGAAUUUAAAAGGAAGGGAGCACAAAGGGAGAACGCCCUUGGCACACACGGACUCGGGUGGUUCUUUUCUACCGUUUGCUGUUGCUACUUGGGUUAGGCUGAGAAGCGGUCGCGGAAAGAAAGCAGGCCUGAGUCCCUGGACACUUCUCAUCAGGACAUGAACUGGUUUGCAGAUGUGGCUAAAUUAAGACUCGGGAUGGGAGAGUGUCCUGGGUUAUCCUGGUGGGCUCUAAAUGCCACCGUGAGUGAGUGUCCUUACAGGAGGGAGGCAGAGGAGUUUCCACACAGAGAGAAGGCCACGUGGGGAUGGAGGAAGGGGGCAUUCCAGAUGUGACUGUGUGUACUGAGCAAUACAACCUCAGGCCAAGGAUUGUAAGCAGAGCCAGAGGCAGGAGGAGGCAGGAGGGGCCCUCCCCUGGAGCCUUCAGAGGGAGGCCCGGCCACACCUUGGGUUUGGACUUCUGGCCUCCAGAACCAUGAGACGAGAAGUUUCUGUUGGAAACCCCCAGUUUCCCGUAAUUUGUAACAGUGGAAAUAGGAAACCAUUGUGUUCUCAUCUUUAAAUUAUUACCCCUUUAGAAUUCUUGGAAUCUUCGCAGAAUCAGGGCCAAGUGGGCUUCCACUCUUCUUGACUGUCCUUGAAUAACCCUGUCGAGUUUCAUUGAAAAAAAAAAUGCAGUUGCACAAAAUUUGCAUAUUAAUUAAGGGAUAUUCCUACUACUUCUGAAAUGAAGUGAAUAUUUUCUGCGUUCAUUUUUAAGCUCGUUCUUUCCUGGGGCGUUGAGGCCCGGGUAUGAGUGCAUUAUCAUGCCCUUCCUAGGCACUGAAGACACAGGCGGCAACACCGAGGCCCAGAGAGGUGAAAAACAUUCCCACAUUCACAAUGACAAAAAGCUGUGGGACUGAGCAUCAAAUCUCGUCACCCAAUUCCAAGCCACAUUGUUCCCUGGGAGUUCACAGUGUCAUUCUACAGUAAUGAAAACAGUUGGAAAUAGUAACCCCGUCCAGCCUGAGGGCCUCACAGCAUUUCGUGGCUUUAUUAGAAGGGUCAAGACUCUUGGUCAACAAGGUCUCAAGGAACCUGAGGUGUCGCUGCUCUACAAUCACACUCCAGUCUCCAUCUUUGGCCAGGGACACAGGUCCUUCUGUGGAGGAGGGACCUCAGACCCCUGCCCGUGAGUGCCUGAGCUUGCAGAGGUAACCCCUCGCCAUCACAUUCCACCAAAGCCUUCUCCAGCAGAACGUGGACGGCCCCCGCUCAGGGUCCCUCAGGAUGAGUGGCUCUCCAGGACGUCACAGCCUCUGUGGCACCAGCAGCCAGUCAAGCAGUGGCUGUCGGGGUGGCCGCUGACGCCAAAGUGCAGGCCCAGGCUUCCCAUUUGGGUCCGGUCCAGAGCCUGGUGCUGUCCACCACGCACUGUUGGUGAGGGUGCUGCCCCAGCCCGCCGACUUUUCCAGCAUCAUGUAGAUGAGCUUUUUAAAGGAUCUUUUUUAACAUGUAAGAUCACUGGGCACACAGUGUGAAAGGAAGCCGUGGAGCCCUGGCGUCUGCACUGUGAGCUCCUCGUGGUGGUUCCGGUCACUGGAAGGCCGAUCUCCACGUGGUGGCCCUGCCUGCUGCCUCCCGGAGGCCAGCAUGUUCCACUGCCACGCAGACCGCGGCCUUGGUGUGUGAUGUGCUUGGCGUCAAGGGCCCUGCAAUGAAACGGCUUUUCCACUGGGACUCCUGGGCCGGGACGCAGGCGGAGCACCAUCCACCACAUGCACCUUGCAGAUCUGGCGGCUGCACAGGCCUCCAGGUCCUCCUGGCCCUCCCGGCCUCUCGCCCUCCCCAGAGUGGAGCUUCCUGCCCGUGACUCAUGCUCCUGCUUCCCACGUCGCCCCCACCUAAGAUAAGUCCCAUGUCCUUUGCCCAACAGGUGGUGACUUUAUUUCCAUCCAACUCCAUCCCUCAGCACCCCCAGCGCAAUCCGGCCUCCCUGUACCCACGCAGGCCCGCUCCCCCGUCUUUCUGUUGCCCACGGCCAAAUCCCCCAAAGCCCAGGGCAGCCCCACGUUGAGCGCAGACCAUCCUGGCGCCAUGGAUUUUCUUAGAACUGCCGUUCCACGCCGGGUGAGUCCCCGGGGCUCUGGAACCGUGGAUUUUCUGGGAUUUGCCGUUCCACGCCGGGUGAGUCCCCGGGGCUCUGGAACCGUGGAUUUUCUGGGAUUUGCCGUUCCACGCCCGGUGAGUCCCCGGGGCUCUGGAACCGUGGAUUUUCUCGGAAUUGCCGUUCCACGCCCGGUGAGUCCCGGAGGCUCCGGAACACGGUUUCUAACGCGCAGGCUGAUGAUUUCUAACACUCACGACGUUCUGCCUCCCCGCACCUGGCCGGGACCCUCAGGCUCAGC
rnacentral:lncRNA from 10 species